UUUUUAGCCUAAGUAUAUUCUAUGCCACAUUUAGGACAUACUUAUGCCUAAAA
rnacentral:pre_miRNA from 1 species